AAGCAAUCGCCGGUGGAUCGGAGAUCAUUGAUGUUGAUUGAACAGAAUAAUAUUUAUUCUAUUGCUUU
rnacentral:tRNA from 1 species